rnacentral:pre_miRNA from 1 species
AGUGGGAUAGCUGGGUCAAAUGGUGGUUUCUUCCCAAUUUUCUAAGGAGUCUCCACACUGCUUUCCAUAGUGGUUGCACCAAUUUGCCAUCCUACCAGCAAU